rnacentral:sRNA from 1 species
GUCGAAGCCGGCUUCCGCCGGCAA